rnacentral:rRNA from 1 species
UACGAAGGUCCCAAGCGUUAUCCGGAUUUAUUGGGCUUAAAGGGUGCGUAGGCGGGUUAUUAAGUCAGUGGUGAAAGCCUACAGCUUAACUGUAGAACUGCCAUUGAUACUGAUGAUCUUGAGUACACUUGAAGUGGGCGGAAUAUGUCAUGUAGAGGUGAAAUUCUUAGAGAUGACAUAGAACACCGAUUGCGAAGGCAGCUCACUAAAUUGUAACUGACGCUGAGGCACGAAAGCGUGGGGAUCAAACAGG